rnacentral:lncRNA from 1 species
UCAUAAUGACUACUGAGAAGCACUAAUUGCCUACAGUUUGGUGUGAUAGAAGAACACAACACAUUUGUUCUGCCCUCUGGACCCGUGUUGCACAAAGACAAUUUAAGAUAGAAUAAAACAUGAAAUGUUGGUGAACGCUGCAGGUUCAGAGGAGGAGGAAGAAGUAUUUGACAUUUGGUAGCUGAGAACUCAGCAUAGCCCUCUCUUAAAAGCACGUUGUGAUUGUGGUUUUCAUGAAUAGUAUGGACACCAGGAUGAAGAAAAAGUAAAGAAUUCCUUUUAGGGAUGGUAGAUGCAAAGAUGAUGUGCGCAGUGAAAUAUAAUCUAUCUUUGUGAAUUCUGGAAGAAAAAUCUGACUGAUCAGCAUGGGGUUGAUAUGGUAUAAAACUUCCAAAAGCCUCUAGGCGAGGAAGACAUAAGAAUCAUCAGCCUAUUACCCUUGGGUUGUGGCAGAGAUUGAGAAUGAAAAGUCCCCACACUCUCAAGAAAAGAUGGACAGUUUUAUACCUGUGGUAACCAGUAAACGGCAGAACUGGCUUUAAAUCAAUCAACGACAACCUGCUUCAGUGAACAUAUCCCUGAAUG